UCAGAACGAACGCUGGCGGCGUGGAUUAGGCAUGCAAGUUGAGCGAGAAAGGGUUCUUCGGAACCUGAGUAAAGCGGCGAAAGGGUGAGUAACGCCUGAAUAAUCUACCCCUGAGAGAGGGAUAACUCCUGGAAACGGGUGCUAAUACCUCAUAAGACCACGAGUCCGUGCGGUUUGUGGUUAAAGAAGGCCUCUGAUGAAAGCUUUUGCUCGGGGAGGAGUUCGGGUCCUAUUAGCUUGUUGGUAAGGUAACGGCUUACCAAGGCUGGGAUGGGUAGCCGGGCUGAGAGGUUGUUCGGCCACACUGGGACUGAGACACUGCCCAGACUCCUUCGGGAGGCUGCAGUCGAGAAUCUUCCGCAAUGCGCGAAAGCGUGACGGAGCGACGCCGCGUGGAUGAUGAAGGCCUUCGGGUUGUAAAGUCCACUCUCGUGGGAAGAAACAGGAGAGGUUAACACCCUGCUUUUGUGACGUUACCACGGUCGAAGUGCCGGCUAAACACGUGCCAGCAGCCGCGGUAAUACGUGUGGCGCAAGCGUUGUUCGGAAUCACUGGGCAUAAAGAGCGCGUAGGCGGUAGUGUAUGUCGGAUGUGAAAGCCCUUGGCUCAACCAAGGAAUUGCAUUCGAAACUACAUUACUAGAGUAUGGAAGGGGGGAGUGGAAUUCCUGGUGGAGCGGUGAAAUGCGUAGAUAUCAGGAAGACCACCGGUGGCGAAGGCGACUCUCUGGUCCAUAACUGACGCUGAGGCGCGAAAGCUACGGGAGCGAACAGGAUUAGAUACCCUGGUAGUCCUAGCUGUAAACGAUGGGCACUAGGUAGUGGGGUUCCGACACUCUCACUGCUGGAGCAAAUGUAUUAAGUGCCCCGCUGGGAGUAUGUCGCAAGGUGAAACUCAAAGGAAUUGACGGGGUCACACAACGUGGAGCAGUUGUUAUUGAGGAUACGCGAAGAACCUUACCUGGGCAUGACUUCUCGAUCGUACCUGGUGGAAACAUCAGAGUCAGUUCGGCUGGAUCGAUGACAGGUGCUGCAUGGCUGUCGUCAGCUCGUGUCGUGAGAUGUCGGUAAGUCCCAUAACGACGAACCCUGUCUUAGUUGCCAGCGAGUA
rnacentral:rRNA from 1 species